GGAACGUCUCACAUCUUGCGUUGCAACUCUUGGUUCACAUCGUGUGGUCCGCACUUAAUUUAUCGGUCAUCGGUGUGAAGUGUUUAUAAACUGUGAGUGCAAUAGACAAUCAGUGGUGUGACAGAACGUUAGCUAUAUAAGACAGUGAUUUGACAUUUAAAACUCUCUUUCCCAUACUUCUUCUCGUCGUGCGAAGUGUUUGCUAAACAAUGUAAUUUGUAAUACAGAAUUGUUUAAAUAAAGG